rnacentral:rRNA from 1 species
UACGGAGGGGGCUAGCGUUGUUCGGAAUUACUGGGCGUAAAGCGCACGUAGGCGGCUUUGUAAGUUAGAGGUGAAAGCCCAGGGCUUAACCCUGGAAUUGCCUUUAAGACUGCAUCGCUAGAAUUGUGGAGAGGUAAGUGGAAUUCCGAGUGUAGAGGUGAAAUUCGUAGAUAUUCGGAAGAAACACCAGUGGCGAAGGCGACUUACUGGACACAUAUUGACGCUGAGGUGGCGAAAAGCGUGGGGAGCAAACAGG